rnacentral:rRNA from 1 species
UACGUAGGGGGCAAGCGUUGUCCGGAUUUAUUGGGCGUAAAGAGCGUGUAGGCGGCCAGACAAGUCCGUUGUGAAAACUCGAGGCUCAACCUCGAGAUGUCGAUGGAAACCGUCUGGCUAGAGUCCGGAAGAGGAGUGUGGAAUUCCUGGUGUAGCGGUGAAAUGCGCAGAUAUCAGGAAGAACACCCGUGGCGAAGGCGGCUCUCUGGGACGGUACUGACGCUGAGACGCGAAAGCGUGGGGAGCGAACAGG